GUUGGAUGAUUACUCCUAAUCAAUAGAUUGGGAGAGGAAAGUCCGAGCUCUUCUGGGCAAAGUGCUGGGUAACACCCAGGCGAGGUAACUCGAUGGAAAGUGCCACAGAAACAUACCGCCACUCUGCAUUGUAGAGAGGUAAGGUUGAAAUCGGGAGGUAAGAGCUCCCGGCUGAAUAUGGUGACAUAUCAGUGGGUAAACCCCACUUGGAGCAAGGCCGAAUAAGGAAUAUAGGUGCCCAGCCUGUUCCGGGUAGGCCGCAUGAGACUCUAAGUAAUUAGAGUCCAAGAUAGAUAAUCAUCGCCUUAAUAACGUUCGGGAAGAAGCAUUUGUGUAAACCGUUCAAGUAAGGUACAGAACUCGGCUUAUAGACUCGCCG
rnacentral:RNase_P_RNA from 1 species